UUGAGUAAAAUAUUACAAAGACUCGAAGAACUGCAGUUUACGAUACACGUUAGCAGUUAACUUAGAUGGGCGAUCAUAUUUUCUCUAUUAAAGCUUUUAAAACUUUAAUAACUUUGUAAUUACUGCACGUAAAUCCACACAAAUCCAUACAAAAAGCGGUUAGAAAGCAUUUAUAUGAAUAUACUGGUAAAUAUACUGGACUUACCUCUUGUUUGCUGUAACCGAUGAACUCAAUCAACUGAUGAUGGUAGUGUUAUUUACGCUUGUCACUCACAUGAUGCACUUAAUAUUCAAAGCAUCGGCGCCAUCCGAUUGGUGGGUUGAGGAAGAGACCUGCUCAACAGAGCUCAGUGAUUGGUUGGUUGAGCAGCUCAACCUGCUCAACGGCGCUCAAUGAUUGGUCGGCAUAGGGACUUGGAGGAGAGAACGCCUGGGAAUACCAGGUGCUGUAAGCAUUUAAUUAUUUAUUUAAUUAUUUAUUGAUAUAAUUUUUUUCCAUAAUUGCAUCCUUUCUGUAAGCGUUUGCCGAUGGCAUGGCGUUGCCACAUUAGUCUUGAAGUGGCUCUCGAAUCGAGUCAGCGCUCGCUUACAGCCACACCACCCUGAGGGCGCUAGAGAGCGAUUAGGAAGUGUUUGGCUGCAGUUGGGAGAGAAAGGCUCUCCACAUGUUUAUGAUUUAUUUAUUUUUUGUUUGUUUUGAAUAGUAUUUUGAGUUAGUAUUAUUUAAGUUUAUUUGUUAUUUUUUCAAAUAUUGAAAAAUAUUUUUCCAACAGUGUGUAGUGGGUAGGGUGGCUGAGAUGGGAAGUGCAGCAUUAAGAUCGGCCCACUGGCGCUGAUUAGUGGGAUCAGGUGGCAUCAGUGGCUUUCCCUUUAAAAGUGGAGCAAGAUGAAGACGGAAUGAUAAUAGUACGGUGUGUGUUGAGGAGUGAGGCUCUUGGAAGAUAAGCUGUGUAAACUGGAGAACCUCGGUUUGGUGUGUGGUAUUUAAACUUAGCUCGCAUAAUAACGAGUAGUGGAUCAAGACUGGGUUCGCAUUAACCUCGGCCUGGGGUCUGUGUAUUUAAAUAUUUGCUUGCAUAAUAGCGAGUAGUGGAUCGAGACGUGCUCGCAGUAACCUCGGGCUGGCGUGGUGGCCAGUAAAUGGUACACGCAGCUGCGCUGUUUACAGAAACCUUGCUCUCUUACUAGCGAGUAGUGGAAUGGUGCGGGUUUGCAGUAAUGUAAGUGUAUGCUCCUUUUCGUUUAUAUGUAAGAUGUGGUGGUUUAGCUCUGACCAUGCUUAUUUGAUAUGGUCUGGGGAUAGAAGUACCGCUGCCGUGGUGAGGGUGUGUGCACAGCUAUCAGUCAUCUACACCGGUAAAAACUCAUUUGCUGUAUCGUUCAUCUAGGCUGGUCUCAAAACCGUAAGUUCAUUUAAUUUCUUUGUUAUAGUCUUCUCAAAAGAAAUUUAGGAUUGUUUUAAAUUGUUAAUUAUAGUAAAAUGUCAUGAUGUUCUAUAAAUGCUAUAAAUUAUUUAUGCUUGCAGGAGGAUUACCGUCGUCUGUUCAACUAGCCACUGUUUUUCCUGUGCGUAAUUCUUUUGAUUAAUUGUUUUUUUUAUUUGGUGUGUGCCCUUGAAGUCUGCCAUAUUUUGGUAAGGCUGAUUGGGAAUUUGGGUGGGUUUAGGAGAAGC